AAAAUACUCAGCCUUCUCUUCCUAGUUCUUCCUGGAGUCGGGAAAAGCUGGGUCGAGAGGGAAAAAAAAAAUUAAA
rnacentral:pre_miRNA from 1 species